rnacentral:tRNA from 1 species
CUCCCUAUAGCUCAACAGGAUAGAGCAGCCGCCUCCUAAGCGGCCGAUGAGGGUUCGAGUCCUUCUGGGGAGGCCA